UACGUAGGGGGCGAGCGUUGUCCGGAGUUACUGGGCGUAAAGGGCGCGCAGGCGGUCUGGCAAGUUUGGAGUGACAGUGCUCGGCUUAACUGAGCAAGGCCUCGAAAACUGCUAGACUUGAGCACUCAAGAGGGACAUAGAAUUCCGGGUGGAGUGGUGAAAUGCGCAGAUAUCAGGAGGAACACCGGUGGCGAAGGCGGGUCUCUGGGCCGAUACUGACGCUGAGGAGCGAAAGCGUGGGGAGCGAACAGG
rnacentral:rRNA from 1 species